rnacentral:rRNA from 1 species
AUUGAACGCUGGCGGAAUGCUUUACACAUGCAAGUCGAACGGCAGCACGGACUUCGGUCUGGUGGCGAGUGGCGAACGGGUGAGUAACAUAUCGGAACGUAUCCAAUAAUGGGGGAUAACUAAUCGAAAGGUUGGCUAAUUCCGCAUACGCCCUACGGGGGAAAGCAGGGGAUCUUCGGACCUUGCGUUAAUGGAGCGGCUGAUAUCUGAUUAGCUAGUUGGUGAGGUAAAGGCUCACCAAGGCGACGAUCAGUAGCUGGUCUGAGAGGACGACCAGCCACACUGGAACUGAGACACGGUCCAGACUCCUACGGGAGGCAGCAGUGGGGAAUUUUGGACAAUGGGCGCAAGCCUGAUCCAGCCAUUCCGCGUGAGUGAAGAAGGCCUUCGGGUUGUAAAGCUCUUUCGCAAGGGAAGAAAACUUACUUUCUAAUACAGUUUGCUAAUGACGGUACCGUAAGAAUAAGCACCGGCUAACUACGUGCCAGCAGCCGCGGUAA